rnacentral:rRNA from 1 species
GACGAACGCUGGCGGCGUGCUUAACACAUGCAAGUCGAACGGAAAGGCCCUGCUUUUGUGGGGUGCUCGAGUGGCGAACGGGUGAGUAACACGUGAGUAACCUGCCCCUGACUUUGGGAUAACUUCAGGAAACUGGGGCUAAUACCGGAUAGGAGCUCCUGCUGCAUGGUGGGGGUUGGAAAGUUUCGGCGGUUGGGGAUGGACUCGCGGCUUAUCAGCUUGUUGGUGGGGUAGUGGCUUACCAAGGCUUUGACGGGUAGCCGGCCUGAGAGGGUGACCGGCCACAUUGGGACUGAGAUACGGACCAGACUCCUACGGGAGGCAGCAGUGGGGAAUAUUGCACAAUGGGCGGAAGCCUGAUGCAGAAACGCCGCGUGCGGGAUGACGGCCUUCGGGUUGUAAACCGCUUUCGCCUGUGACGAAGCGUGAGUGACGGUAAUGGGUAAAGAAGCACCGGCUAACUACGUG